rnacentral:rRNA from 1 species
GAUGAACGCUAGCGGCAGGCUUAAUACAUGCAAGUCGAACGGCAGCACGGACUUCGGUCUGGUGGCGAGUGGCGAACGGGUGAGUAAUGUAUCGGAACGUGCCCAGUCGUGGGGGAUAACGUAGUGAAAAUUACGCUAAUACCGCAUACGAUCUAUGGAUGAAAGCGGGGGAUCGCAAGACCUCGCGCGAUUGGAGCGGCCGAUAUCAGAUUAGGUAGUUGGUGGGGUAAAGGCCCACCAAGCCAACGAUCUGUAGCUGGUCUGAGAGGACGACCAGCCACACUGGAACUGAGACACGGUCCAGACUCCUACGGGAGGCAGCAGUGGGGAAUUUUGGACAAUGGGCGAAAGCCUGAUCCAGCCAUUCCGCGUGCAGGAUGAAGGCCCUCGGGUUGUAAACUGCUUUUGUACAGAACGAAAAGGUUUCUACUAAUACUAGGAGCUCAUGAAGGUACUGUAAGAAUAAGCACCGGCUAACUACGUGCCAGCAGCCGCCGCAG